AGAGAGAGACAUGCGCGCAUAUCAAUAAGCGGAGGAAAAGAAACUAACUAGGAUUCCCUCAGUAACGGCGAGUGAAGCGGGAAGAGCUCAAAUUUGAAAUCUUCAAGGUUCUACCUUGACGAAUUGUAGUUUAAAGAAGUGUUUUCUGUUGGAGUUUUGGUAAAAGUUCUUUGGAAUAGGACAUCAUAGAGGGUGAGAAUCCCGUAUUUGACCAUUAUUUCCAGCUUUGUGAUACACUUUCAAAGAGUCGGAUUGCUUGGGAAUGCAGUCCAAAAUGGGUGGUAAAUUUCAUCUAAAGCUAAAUAUUGGCGAGAGACCGAUAGCGAACAAGUACCGUGAGGGAAAGAUGAAAAGAACUUUGAAAAGAGAGUUAAACAGUACGUGAAAUUGUCAAAAGGGAAGCGUUUGACACCAGUGUUGUUUUCUCGAAAAUCAAUUAAAAAAGGCAGGAUUUUGUGUUGUAUUGACUUUAUCAGCUUUCUGCACUCUUUUCUUGUCUUUUUUAAUGCACUUUUCGUUUAACAAGUCAACAUCAAUUUCUUUUGUUGUAAAAGGGUCAUUGGAAGGUGGCUUUCUUUUCGGAGAAAGUGUUUAUAGCCUUUGGCCUCUGCAAUCGGAGAGAUUGAGGUCUGCAGCGUAGAUCCUUCGGGGUUAGAUACAUUUGUGCUAAGUUAUAGCCUUUCAUAGACAACUUGUUGACUAUGAUCAGUCAUGUAGCUUACUCGCUUAUGCUAUUUUACCUACGCUUAGGAUGUUGAUGUGAUACUGCGAGCA
rnacentral:rRNA from 1 species